rnacentral:rRNA from 1 species
AUUGAACGCUGGCGGCAGGCCUAACACAUGCAAGUCGGACGGUAGCACAGAGAGCUUGCUCUCGGGUGACGAGUGGCGGACGGGUGAGUAAUGUCUGGGGAUCUGCCCGAUAGAGGGGGAUAACCACUGGAAACGGUGGCUAAUACCGCAUAACGUCGCAAGACCAAAGAGGGGGACCUUCGGGCCUCUCACUAUCGGAUGAACCCAGAUGGGAUUAGCUAGUAGGCGGGGUAACGGCCCACCUAGGCGACGAUCCCUAGCUGGUCUGAGAGGAUGACCAGCCACACUGGAACUGAGACACGGUCCAGACUCCUACGGGAGGCAGCAGUGGGGAAUAUUGGACAAUGGGCGCAAGCCUGAUGCAGUCAUGCCGCGUGUAUGAAGAAGGCCCUCGGGUUGUAAAGUACUUUCAGCGGGGAUGAAGGCGAUGUGGUUAAUAACCGCGUCGAUUGACGUUACCCGCAGAAGAAGCACCGGCUAACUCCGUGCCAGCCGCCGCAGUAA